CAGGAUUGGUUGAACAACAAAAAUCACACCAAGAGCAGGCGUGUAAUAGUCUGGGAGGCCACAAUGGACCUGACAAUGGAACUGACGGGUAACGUCAAGGAAACUAAGGGAACUAUGGGAACGGAUUAUUGCACAAGUGCGGUGGUGUACAUUAAGAAGAGAAGGGGACUGAGCACUGACCCUUAAUGUAGCAGAAUGGAAAUGUAUUCCAGUCGUCGAUCUCGAGCCAAUCAUUGUCUGUGGUCAUCCUAUAAAGGCAGAUAGUUGUUUUCGGGGUGCUCCCCUGACGCUGAACGCACGCCCUGCCUCCGUUCACCGGACUUCCGCAACUGCUGCAGAUCCCGCCGUGGUGACUCACCUCCCUCAGAAGUGAUCCCUUCAUUGGACUGCUAUCGGAGCUGAGCGCCCACGGUGGUGGGGUUGGUGACUGUAGGUGAUGGUUCCUCCUUUUUCCUGUGUGCUGUGUUUAACUGAGCAUCCCUGGGUCUGACCCUUCAAGAGUGUGUGUGUGUGUGUGUGUGUGUGAAUGAAUAUGUGUACAUGUGCGAUUUGGGGUGACUCUCUUCUGGACACCUCUCCUACCUCCCCUCCACUGGUAAGCCUCGGCCCUGAAUAAUUCCUCUGCCCCUCUUUUUAAUACCUGUGUGAUCGGUAUGUUUAAUAAUUGUUUUUUUUACUAAAUUUUGCUAUUGUUAAAAAUAAAGAAUUGAUGGUUGCAACCACGUCUCUUGCUUCUUGGUGUAACGAACCUGAUUGCCUUUUGAGUUAAUGGUACUGGUCUGAGGUAACAUUUGUCCCUGGGUAAAACCCCCAGGGUGGCGUGGUUGGAUUCUUUUGAUAACACUGGUUAGUGCCCUUCAAUUCCUUUUCCUCUUGCCACAUUGAGAAACCCCUGUGGAAAAACUGUACAGUUUGGACACUUCUCCUCUCGAAGAUACUCAAAAAUAUCUCCCUGAGAGGUAGGACAUGAACCGGCAUAGGGCAGAUCCUGAGAUACCCAAGUCAGUGAGUGUGGAGAGGAGGAUUUGGUGGUUAACUGUGUCACAGUGAGCUGACAGAUCUAGCAGUAAUAGAGCUGAGGACUGACCAGUAGCUCCAGCUGAAGGUAGUGAUUCCAUAACUGACAGGAGUACAGUCUCAGUAGAGUGCCCCUGCUUAAAGCCAGACUGAUUCGGGUCAUACAAGUUGUUCUCAGAAAGGA